GACGAACGCUGGCGGCGUGCCUAAUACAUGCAAGUAGGACGCACAGUCUAUACCGUAGCUUGCUACACCAUAGGCUGUGAGUUGCGAACGGGUGAGUAACGCGUAGGUAACCUGCCUAUUAGAGGGGGAUAACUAUUGGAAACGAUAGCUAAUACCGCAUAACAGUAUGUAACACAUGUUAGAUGCUUGAAAGAUGCAAUUGCAUCGCUAGUAGAUGGACCUGCGUUGUAUUAGCUAGUAGGUAGGGUAAUGGCCUACCUAGGCGACGAUACAUAGCCGACCUGGGAGGGUGAUCGGCCACACUGGGACUGGGAAACGGCCCAGACUCCUACGGGAGGCAGCAGUAGGGAAUCUUCGGCAAUGGGGGGAACCCUGACCGAGCAACGCCGCGUGAGUGAAGAAGGUUUUCGGAUCGUAAAGCUCUGUUGUUAAGGAAGAACGAGUGUGAGAAUGGAAAGUUCAUACUGUGACGGUACUUAACCAGAAAGGGACGGCUAACUACGUG
rnacentral:rRNA from 1 species